UCGCGUCCCUGUGGUGCCGGUGGAGCUGCUCCUCUCAAGCAGUUUCAGAUGGCCAACCAUUAACUGUUAGAGAUGAGAAGUACCUAAUGUAAGACCAAAGGUGGGGUUCUGAUGGUUUUGCUGGAUGGCUGCAGCUAAUCGAGUGGUGUGAGACCCCUCUUGUGUCCCCAAGACAUUGGUCCAUGCUUCUUAUUUUUGGAUGCGUGCCUCUGACAAGCAGAAUUCUUGUUCUUGCAGCUACGCACAGCAAGAUUUUACACGAAUGAAUGAAACUUCAAGACCCUGUUGAACAUGCACUCAAUUUAGCCACAAAGAAACAUAAGAACAAUUGUGUUGGGCA